GUUGUUCCGCCAGGGGCAUUGUAGAGUAGCUACGUUGGGAAUAGAUAAGCGCUGAAAGCAUCUAAGUGCGAAACUCCCCUCAAGAUGAGACUUCCAAAUAGGGCCGUCAGAGACGAUGACGUUGAUAGGCUACAGGUGUAAAGGCAGUAAUGUCAUAGCUGAGUAGUACUAAUUGCCCAAAAACU
rnacentral:rRNA from 1 species